CCCCCAUCAGAAGGACAGGAGCACCGCGUCGCAGAGAGCCUCAGGAGUCAUCACAGGUAAGUUUUGUUGCAUUUUGGCAGUGGUCUGUUGCGGCCGCUGGAAGUGGGCCACUUGCAACAAUUUUGUCCGGCCGGCGAUUGCAGGUUAGUUGUUCUUGGUAUCGGCAUCCAUCGCUGCCGUCAUUUGGUGAGUAUCAGUUGUAUCGUCGGUGGCAGUUUUAUGCAAUUGUUUGAAUAUAUUGCAGAUAAAAUUGCCGUUCGUCAGGAAGAGGAGUUGCAAUGAGUUGCCCCACGCAGCCGUCAUUGCAUUUCUUGAGAGCCGCUGUCUAUAUGGUGGUGGAGUCGUCUCGUGGCGAAGAAGUCAUCAGAGAGGAUUGUGGCUCGGUCUGUCACCGAAGGAAGCCAGGUGCGCCGCGUCUUGUGGCCAUAGCGUCAGGAUUGGCAGCUUGGGGCCGCCGUUUUAAGAUUUGUAGCAGAGAGCCGCCGCAACGGAAUAGCCAUGGAAAUGGAUGCAAAAAUAGUAUUUGGUACAUUGAGUGGAAUUAAUUUAAGGUACUUAAAAAGGAAGCUAGUCUGGGGUGAGUAUUUUAUUGCUUUUUUUAAUUGCGUUGAUUUAUUUGCUUUUCAGGUACGUUUUGUGAGGGCUAAAUUGGAGGCCCUUGUUAUUGUGUUGUUGCAGCUGGAAUGCCACGAUUUUGGAGUCAUCAAGUUGUCAAUUAGAUAAGUAUUAUAUUGUAAUUAUAUUUUUCCCAGUAAUAGCUUGUGUUCCCUUGUUUCAAUAGUUGUGGUCUUGGAAGCUGGAGCUGCGUGCUUGUCGUCAGCAGGAUGAGGCCGUCCACUAGCAUCUGCUACUUUGUCUGUCCGGUUUGUUAUUAUUUAUGUGUCCUUGAUAAUUUUUGUAUCGCAUUCUUAUUUAAUUUCCUUUCAUUACAGGUUAGCGGAAAAUUCGUCGAAGAUACAGAACUGAGGAGAAAUAUACAAUUUAAGGACAGGAUUUGCAGCAUUUUGAUGUGGCAUCUGCGCCAUGCAAAUUAUCCUUAUUUAUGCUUUGGCGUCAGGAGAUGGAGACGGCAUCCUAAAAUUGUCAAUUUUUUGUGUUUGAAAUCGCGAAAGUUGGCGAUUUAGUUUUGCUUUUGCGCUGCCUGUCUCCUGAUUUACGUGCGCUUCAUCGGCAGGAUGAGCUCGUCAGGUUUGCAUUUUUCUGUGUGUCCUUGAUUAGUUUUGUAUUAUAUUCUUAUUAAUUUUCCUUUCCUUUCAGGUUAUCAGGAAAUCAUUGAAAAAACGGUGCUGGGGAAAUUUAUACAAUUUGGAGACGGAUUUUAAUUAUUUUUAAUAUGAUGUCAGCUCCGGGAUAGUAAUCCUUGUUAGUGCAGUGGCAUCAGGAGGAGGAGACGGCGUUGUAAGAUUGUCAAUUUAUUGUGUUUAUAAUCACGAAGGAUGGCGAUUUUGUUUUUUCUUUGCAGGGCUCGUCUUCUCUUUUUGGUUGCGUUGGAUCACCAGUUGGCUGUGUUUGUUGAGGUUUUGGCGUCUCUAGUGUAGGCGCUCGUCGAUCUGAGGGAAUUUAAGAGUAGCGGAUGGAUAGAUUCUGCAGCUCCGCGCUAAGUGCCCUGAGCGAAGCGUAGGCAGCUUAUAUGGCCCGUCUAUUGCAGUGCAGCACUGCAAGUAGAUUGCAUCGGUGAUAAGAGAUACUAAUCGGGAAACGUGUGGCAAGAAAGUUCAGGUAAGUGACGUUGUGCAUUUUAACUUUGUAGGUGGAGGUACGGAGACAGAAUGAAUUCUGUUCCGCAUCCACAAAUUUAUUUUGCCUUUGAUUACAAUUUAUGCAAUAUGUAGGUACAAUUAUUUGAAUUUAGAGUUUAACAUUGCAUGGGGUGAGUUUGGGGCUUGGACAUAGAUUAGUAUUUAAUGUUAAGUUAGUAUUUUUUUUUGUAAGCUUUGGAUUAUAGACAGAGACGUGGACUGGUAACAUUAUCGUCUUGCAUAUUAUGUUUACAUUUAUAAAAUUGUAGUGAUUUUAUAUAAAACAUUGAAUUGUAGGACUAACAUUGUAUAAUUUAUUUCUUUUCAGCUACCCCCGCCAGGAGAACGGAAGCAUCGAGUCGCUGGAGGCCUCGAGAGUCAUUGGAGGUGAGUAUUAGUUGUGUUUUGGCAGGAAAUUGGCUUCAGGCGCUGGAUGCGCGCCACUUGCAAUAUGUAUGUCCGGAAAGCGUUGCAGGUAAUUUAUUAGUGGUAAGUUUAUCCCUCGCUGCUGUCAUUUGAUGGUUUUUCUCUUCCACCCUCAGUGGUAGAUGUUUGCAAUUAUUUAUUUAGUUUGUUAAAAUUGCAGGUCAGCUUCGGCGGUCGUCGGGAAGAGGAUGCCUGAAGAAAGGUCCGGCACAGCGGUCGCCACGUAGUUUUGGAGCUGCUGCCAUUAUUGUGAUGGGAUCUGUCUCGUUAUGGCAGGAGAGUCGACAGUGAUGAUUGUGGCUUGGUCGUUCAUCUUGAGUGGCUAGAUGCGCCGCGUUUUGUGGCCAUUUCGCCAGGGUUUGCAGCUUGGAGCCUCCGGAGCGUGAUUAGUUGCCGAGAGCCGUCGCAACGAUUGGGGCCAUGGAAAUGGAAGUAAAAUUAGAUAAUGGGUACAUUUGGUGGAAGGUAAGUAUUAUAUUAAUAAUUUAUUUGUUUUCAUAUUUAUUGCAUUGUUUUCGUUUUGUUUAAUUUUGUUUUUGUUUUUCAGGUACAUUAGGUGGAAGCUAAUCUGGUGGUAAGUAUUUUAAUUGUUUUUAUGGUUGCAUUAAUAUUUUGUUUUUCAAAUACGUUUUUUAACUAAUUUGGAGGUCCUUUGUUUUUGGAACAUAGCAACGGAAGAGCCGCUGGUUUAGUGUCGUCGAGUUGGCGAUUAGAUAAGUGUUUUGUUAAAGUAAUUAAUUCCCAGUUUUAGCUUGUGCUCCCUUGUUUCAGAAUUUACAAUCUUGGUGCUUUUAGGUUUUAGCUUCAGCUCUCUGUUGGCGCUCGUCAAGCUGGAAGUUUAUGGGAGCAGCCAUGGAAAUGGAUAAAAUUUGAGAUUGGGUGAGAAUUAUAUUUGUUGAUUGAUUUUGUGAUUGUGUAAUUUUUUGUUUUUCUUUUCAGGUACAUUUGGUGGGAGGUACAUUUGGUGGAAGCUAAUCUGGUGGUGAGUAUUAUAAUUGUUUUUAUGGUUGCAUUAGUCUUUUGUUUUUCAGGUACUUUUUGCAAUUUAUUUGGAGGCCCUUUGUUUUUGGAACAUAGCAACGGAAGAGCCGAGGGUUUAGUGUCGUCGAGUUAGCAAUUAGAUAAGUGUUUUGUUAAAGUAAUUUAUUCCCAGUUUUAGCUUGUGCUUCCUUGUUUCAGGAUUUACAUCUAGGAAAGAUCAGUUGCAUGCUUAUCGUCAGCAAGAUGGAACCGCCUGUUGGCGCCUGUUGUCGCCUGGUUGUUUGCCUGUCCGGUUUGCUUUGUUCUUAAUUAAUUAUCUUUUGUAUCAUAUUCUUAUUAAUUAUCUUUUCGUUGUAGUUUAGCGGAGAACUCGUAGGAGAUGCGAUACUGAGGAAAAGUAAACAAUUUGAGGACAAAAAAUGCGGAUUGUUUGUGUGGCGCCAGCUCUGCGCUAGUUAUCCUUGUUGGAGCAAUGGCAUCAGGAGGCGGAGACGGCGUCGUAAUAUUGUCGA